rnacentral:rRNA from 1 species
AUUGAACGCUGGCGGCAGGCCUAACACAUGCAAGUCGAGCGGUAGCACAGAGAGCUUGCUCUCGGGUGACGAGCGGCGGACGGGUGAGUAAUGUCUGGGAAACUGCCUGAUGGAGGGGGAUAACUACUGGAAACGGUAGCUAAUACCGCAUAAUGUCGCAAGACCAAAGUGGGGGACCUUCGGGCCUCAUGCCAUCAGAUGUGCCCAGAUGGGAUUAGCUAGUAGGUGGGGUAAUGGCUCACCUAGGCGACGAUCCCUAGCUGGUCUGAGAGGAUGACCAGCCACACUGGAACUGAGACACGGUCCAGACUCCUACGGGAGGCAGCAGUGGGGAAUAUUGCACAAUGGGCGCAAGCCUGAUGCAGCCAUGCCGCGUGUGUGAAGAAGGCCUUCGGGUUGUAAAGCACUUUCAGCGGGGAGGAAGGCGAUAAGGUUAAUAACCUUGUCGAUUGACGUUACCCGCAGAAGAAGCACCGGCUAACUCCGUGCCAGCAGCCGCGGUAAUACGGAGGGUGCAAGCGUUAAUCGGAAUUACUGGGCGUAAAGCGCACGCAGGCGGUCUGUCAAGUCGGAUGUGAAAUCCCCGGGCUCAACCUGGGAACUGCAUUCGAAACUGGCAGGCUAGAGUCUUGUAGAGGGGGGUAGAAUUCCAGGUGUAGCGGUGAAAUGCGUAGAGAUCUGGAGGAAUACCGGUGGCGAAGGCGGCCCCCUGGACAAAGACUGACGCUCAGGUGCGAAAGCGUGGGGAGCAAACAGGAUUAGAUACCCUGGUAGUCCACGCCGUAAACGAUGUCGAUUUGGAGGUUGUGCCCUUGAGGCGUGGCUUCCGGAGCUAACGCGUUAAAUCGACCGCCUGGGGAGUACGGCCGCAAGGUUAAAACUCAAAUGAAUUGACGGGGGCCCGCACAAGCGGUGGAGCAUGUGGUUUAAUUCGAUGCAACGCGAAGAACCUUACCUGGUCUUGACAUCCACAGAACUUUCCAGAGAUGGAUUGGUGCCUUCGGGAACUGUGAGACAGGUGCUGCAUGGCUGUCGUCAGCUCGUGUUGUGAAAUGUUGGGUUAAGUCCCGCAACGAGCGCAACCCUUAUCCUUUGUUGCCAGCGGUUCGGCCGGGAACUCAAAGGAGACUGCCAGUGAUAAACUGGAGGAAGGUGGGGAUGACGUCAAGUCAUCAUGGCCCUUACGACCAGGGCUACACACGUGCUACAAUGGCAUAUACAAAGAGAAGCGACCUCGCGAGAGCAAGCGGACCUCAUAAAGUAUGUCGUAGUCCGGAUUGGAGUCUGCAACUCGACUCCAUGAAGUCGGAAUCGCUAGUAAUCGUAGAUCAGAAUGCUACGGUGAAUACGUUCCCGGGCCUUGUACACACCGCCCGUCACACCAUGGGAGUGGGUUGCAAAAGAAGUAGGUAGCUUAACCUUCGGGAGGGCGCUUACCACUUUGUGAUUCAUGACUGGGGUGA